GCUAGUUACCAUCAUUAAGUUGGGGACUCUAGCGAGACUGCCAGUGAUAAACUGGAGGAAGGUGGGGAUGACGUCAAAUCAUCAUGCCCCUUAUGACCUGGGCUACAAACGUGAUACAAUGGCUGGAACAAAGGGAUGCGAAGCAGUGAUGUGGAGCGAAACCCAUAAAAACAGUCUCAGUUCGGAUUGAAGUCUGCAACUCGACUUCAUGAAGUCGGAAUCGCUAGUAAUCGCGGAUCAGAACGCCGCGGUGAAUACGUUCUCGGGGUUU
rnacentral:rRNA from 1 species